GUUUGCGGCCUCUCAUGAGGCUGCACGGAAAGACGGUUUCGGCUGUCACUGCAGGAUGGGCCGCGGCGCAUUAGCUAGUUGGUGAGGUAACGGCUCACCAAGGCCACGAUGCGUAGCCGACCUGAGAGGGUGAUCGGCCACACUGGGACUGAGACACGGCCCAGACUCCUACGGGAGGCAGCAGUAGGGAAUCUUCCGCAAUGGACGAAAGUCUGACGGAGCAACGCCGCGUGAGUGAAGAAGGUUUUCGGAUCGUAAAACUCUGUUGUGAGGGAAGAACAAGUACCAACUAACUACUGGUACCUUGACGGUACCUCACCAGAAAGCCACGGCUAACUACGUGC
rnacentral:rRNA from 1 species